rnacentral:rRNA from 1 species
CAUGUCUUUUUGAUUAUAAUUUAAAGUCUAACCUGCCCUAUGAGUAUUUAAAUGGCCGCGGUAUUUUGACCGUGCAAAGGUAGCAUAAUCAUUAGUUUCUUAAUUAGGAACUAGAAUGAAUGGUUGGACAAGAAAAAUACUGUCUCAAUUUAAUUGAUAUUAGAAUUUUAUUUUUAAGUUAAAAAGCUUAAAUAGUUUUAAAAGACGAGAAGACCCUAUAGAGUUUUAUAUUAUAGUUUAAUAAUGAAAAGAAAGAAUUUAGUUUAAUUAUUAAAAUAUAGUAUUUAAUUGGGGUGAUUAAAAAAUUAAAAUAACUUUUUUUAAAUUAAAACAUUAAUUUAUGAUAAAGUGAUCCAUAAGUUAUGAUUAUAAGAUUAAAUUACCUUAGGGAUAACAGCGUUAUUUUUUUUUAGAGUUCAUAUCGAAAAAAAAGUUUGCGACC